rnacentral:rRNA from 1 species
UACGAAGGGGGCGAGCGUUGUUCGGAAUUACUGGGCGUAAAGGGCGCGCAGGCGGCCUCUUGAAGUCAGAUGUGAAAGCCCCGGGCUCAACCUGGGAAUUGCAUUUGAGACUGCGUAGCUAGGGUGCGGAAGAGGGAAGCGGAAUUUCCGGUGUAGCGGUGAAAUGCGUAGAUAUCGGAAGGAACACCAGUGGCGAAAGCGGCUUCCUGGUCCAGCACCGACGUUCAGGCACGAAAGCGUGGGGAGCAAACAGG